CCUACGGGAGGCAGCAGUGAGGAAUAUUGGUCAAUGGGCGCGAGCCUGAACCAGCCAAGUAGCGUGAAGGAUGACUGCCCUACGGGUUGUAAACUUCUUUUAUAAAGGAAUAAAGUGAGGCACGUGUGCCUUUUUGUAUGUACUUUAUGAAUAAGGAUCGGCUAACUCCGUGCCAGCAGCCGCGGUAAUACGGAGGAGCCGAGCGUUAUCCGGAUUUAUUGGGUUUAAAGGGAGCGUAGAUGGGUUGUUAAGUCAGUUGUGAAAGUUUGCGGCUCAACCGUAAAAUUGCAAUUGAUACUGGAAGCCUUGAGUACAGUAGAGGCAGGCGGAAUUCGUGGUGUAGCGGUGAAAUGCUUAGAUAUCACGAAGAACCCCGAUUGCGAAGGCAACCUACUGAGCUGCCACUGACAUUGAUGCUCGAAAGUGUGGGUAUCAAACAGGAUUAGAUACCCUUGUAGUC
rnacentral:rRNA from 1 species